rnacentral:snoRNA from 1 species
UGGCCUGAAAUGAUGUUAUGCAUUCAUGUCUCUUCUCUGAGAUGUCUCAUGGAGACAGCUAGCUGCAUUCCUGAUCAGGCUU